rnacentral:rRNA from 1 species
GCCAGAGCCAUGUCUCCUUGCAGUUCUCAUCUGGUUUCCCACUGAAACUAAGCAGGGUUGAGCUUGAGCAGUACCUGAAUGGGAGACCUGCUGGGGAGAAAUAAGGUUGCUGCUGAAA